UCUGGCCUAUUAAAUAGACGAUAUAUUUAAAAGUAUAUCGCGCUUCUUAGAGGGACAAGCGGCGUCUAGCCGCAUGAAAUAGAGCAAUAACAGGUCUGUGAUGCCCUUAGAUGUCCGGGGCUGCACGCGCGCUACACUGAAAGAAUCAGUGGGCGUUAUACCUAGUUCGGAAGAACCGGGUAACCCAAGUAAAUUCUUUCGUGCUUGGGAUAGGGAAUUGCAAUUAUUUCCCUUAAACGAGGAAUUCCCAGUAAAUUCGGGUCAUAAGCUCGAGUUGAUUACGUCCCUG
rnacentral:rRNA from 1 species